UCAGGACGAACGCUGGCGGCGUGCCUAAUACAUGCAAGUCGAGCGGACAGAUGGGAGCUUGCUCCCUGAUGUUAGCGGCGGACGGGUGAGUAACACGUGGGUAACCUGCCUGUAAGACUGGGAUAACUCCGGGAAACCGGGGCUAAUACCGGAUGGUUGUCUGAACCGCAUGGUUCAGACAUAAAAGGUGGCUUCGGCUACCACUUACAGAUGGACCCGCGGCGCAUUAGCUAGUUGGUGAGGUAACGGCUCACCAAGGCGACGAUGCGUAGCCGACCUGAGAGGGUGAUCGGCCACACUGGGACUGAGACACGGCCCAGACUCCUACGGGAGGCAGCAGUAGGGAAUCUUCCGCAAUGGACGAAAGUCUGACGGAGCAACGCCGCGUGAGUGAUGAAGGUUUUCGGAUCGUAAAGCUCUGUUGUUAGGGAAGAACAAGUGCCGUUCAAAUAGGGCGGCACCUUGACGGUACCUAACCAGAAAGCCACGGCUAACUACGUGCCAGCAGCCGCGGUAAUACGUAGGUGGCAAGCGUUGUCCGGAAUUAUUGGGCGUAAAGGGCUCGCAGGCGGUUUCUUAAGUCUGAUGUGAAAGCCCCCGGCUCAACCGGGGAGGGUCAUUGGAAACUGGGGAACUUGAGUGCAGAAGAGGAGAGUGGAAUUCCACGUGUAGCGGUGAAAUGCGUAGAGAUGUGGAGGAACACCAGUGGCGAAGGCGACUCUCUGGUCUGUAACUGACGCUGAGGAGCGAAAGCGUGGGGAGCCAACAGGAUUAAUUCCCCCAA
rnacentral:rRNA from 2 species